rnacentral:rRNA from 1 species
UGAUGGAUCAAAACGUCCUAAUCGCGCUGGUGUCAUAUCUCCUGAUGUUGAUCUUGGGGCCAUUGAUCAUAGAUGUCAUCCUGGUAAGCAAAAAGAUCUGGAGCUUCUUGCACACAUUUACAAAAUACCUAGCGCAUGAUGACACCCUCGUCGUCGACUCUAUGGUGCUUGAUGAUAGCCCCACAUCACCGGCGAAAGUAACUGGUGGUGGAGGAUUAACAUCUCGUGACAUAGAAAUUGUCACGGCGAGGCUAGGUCUUACCGGCUGGAGGUACCAAGGGUGUGAAGGAAUUAGUGUCGUAGAUGAGUUGAUGGACGGUAAGCAAGCGAGCAAGGGCGAGCUGGAGGAGGCCUUCUGUGUUUUCGACCAUGAUGAGGAUGGGUUCAUAUGCGCCGGUGAGUUGUGGAACGUGAUGAGGAGGCUUGGGUUGAAAGAAGGGGCCAUGUAUGAGGACUGUGUGAGGAUGAUCCGCCCCUUCGAUGAGGAUAGAGAUGGUAAGAUUAGCUUCAUAGAGUGUAGAAAGAUGAUGGAGAAUGCCGUUUAGUUAACUAGAAUGUUUUUGUUUGUGUAAAAUAAGCCGUUAUAAACAGUUGUAUGAACAAUGUGUGUUAGUAUGCCACUUUUUGGCAUUUAAUUAAGGUUUUGACAUCAAUAUUUGUUCGCACCAUUUUGGGCCAAACAAUUUGGCAAAUAUGUAAAGUAUCAAAGAUUGCAUCUC